rnacentral:piRNA from 1 species
GAUGCUCUUUUGUUUUUAGUCUGAGA